GCUCAAGGUCCUAACAAAGGGUUAAACAAAUGAUAUAGCAACACGUCAAACGUCAAGAUUUCCCUGUACUCAAACAUCCCUGAUUACCACUAGGCUCCGUAUUUUCGGUGGUCUCGUAAAGUGCCCAAAAGGUUCACCUAGCGAACACAGAAAACUUGGAUAGAGCCGGAAAUUAACUCAAUACAAACCCUAAUAGCAGUGUAUGAUCCAAUCCUCUCUCGGCCAUCGGAUCCCCAAAAAGAACACUUACAGGUGCUAGACUUAAUGGAUUCCAACAUGCAAUCUCCAACCCCAGACAACGUUGAGACAAAAGCGGCAUUCCGUAAACCUUCAAAUCAUGUAGCCAAUAGGAAGUACCGUCGCCGAUCUCCUGCUGAUGGAUCAUCUUCAUCUGAAGGGAGUCCUAAGAGUGAACGUGGCACUAGUCCAUUCUCUUCAAGGGGAGAUCCUGCAAAAGCUUCUGAGCAUCAACAUAGAAGGAAGGAUGAGAGAGAAUAUAGGGAUUCUGGUCGUAGUCAGUCUGGCAAAGAUUCAUAUCGACAUUCUGAUCGAUAUUCCUCUAGGAAUUCCCAUGGUUAUUCUAGGCACGAUGAGUACAGCAGACAUGAGAAGCGUGCAGAUGAUGAAGAGAGACAUUACCAGGGAUCAUCCCAUUCCGGUAUGGAAUCAAGGCGUGCUGGUCACUCUGAUCAUACAAGAGAAGAAAGUGAACGUGGUAGGUCAAGAGACUAUGUGCGAAAUGUAGACAAAUACUCCCGUGAUAGAUAUGAUGGUUCAGGGCAUAGAAGUAAGGAUAAAGAGAGAGACUCAUUUUCCCUAGACCGUCAGAAAUUUAGGGAUAAGGAUUCAUCUCCUGACAGAGCUGGCUCUGGUAGGAAACAUACACUCACAACCUCUGAAGAUAAGGAUAGGGACCGGCACAGGCAGGACAGAGAUGGUUGGGAUGAGAAAAGGAAUUAUCAUAGGAGUUCUGGAGACUACAAAAGUGAUCGUCGAAAUGAUUCUGGAAGGGAUCAUGAUGUGCAUCGCUAUAGAGAUUCUUAUAAGGAUGACCAAAAGGAUCUAAACGGUCAAAAGGAAAAGAAGAAACAUGAUGACUGGGAUGCUAACAGGGACAAGGAUAGAUAUGAGCAGAAUGAAGAUAAACCUGUUUUUGGGAGUGAAAAACAAGAGUCUAUAGCUAAAAAGCCCAGGUUAUUUAGCUCUGAAAGGGAUGCUGAUUACAAUAAAGAUGGUGAUGAAAAGCAAUCUUCAAAGCAAGUUGGGGUUGAUGCUAAAGUCAUCGGAGGAGAGGCACAUGUGAAUAACUCGGAGGGUGCCAAUGACCUAAAUGCAGCAAAGGUUGCUGCAAUGAAAGCUGCUGAAUUAGGUACCUGAUGCCUUCAUCUCCAUUUGAUAUCUUAUAUCAGUGCAACUGCUCUAAUGUUCUAUUUUACAUUUACUCUUUUGCACCAUGAUGUGAAAUAAGGGAAGUAAGUGUUCUACAUAACUUGACAAAUUGGGAUUUGAAACAUCUGCUUUGGUUUAUGUCCUUAAGAAGGUUUAGUAGUAGUCUUCUUAUAUUCUUGUAUGAUCCCAGGAAGUAGCUGUUAUAUUGUCUUCAAUCUUAUAUUGGUCUAGGGUUAUUUGUUUUUUCUCUAUGUUAACUAAAGGAUGUUUACUGUGAUAUUGCUCUAGAUGGCUAGAAAUUGUUCUGUACAGGUGAAAUAUUUAUUUUGUUGUUUCUCUGUUAGAAAAAAUGAGCUAUGAGCUUUGACAGUGUUAUGUAACAUACAUUAACUACCUCAACUUUUAGGUGGCUGAUUUUCAUUUUUAGUGCUGGUACUCUAUGUGACUUGGCUUGGCAUCAUAUGGUGUAAAAAAAUAAGACAAGUGUUAGAAUUUAAUUUUUUAUGUGGUAAAUGGAACUUGGAUUAGUUGUUUACAAAUUACUUGAGAUUCCAUUCUAAAAAUCGGAGACUCAAUUAUGUGAAUUAGAAACACAAUCAUUGAGUGGUUGCCAUUAGUAGAGGAUGUCAAAUGUUCAAAUUUGUUGUAUUUUGGAAUUUGUACAUGUGGUGUGUUUGGGCAUUGAUUUAUGAAAGGGGGACAGGUGGGUGGGCUCAUUGUCAGUCUUAAUUUGAAUCUUAACAAUUAUUACUAGGUAGUUGAUAAUGAAUUUGUGGUCUAUGGAUGUGUAUGUAGUCAUAAUAAUGCCACAUAGGAAGGGGAAGAUACUAAUAGAAAGCUGAGAACCAAGUUUAUCUUUGGCUAAUCUUUGUUCUGAGUUAGUCUCUUCAUAGUGAUAUAAGAUUGACUGCAGGACCAAUAUAGAAUGUUGCAAUUACACGUACUGAGGAAUGCAGUGUGGUUAAAAUUGUUAUAAGCACUGAGGUGCAGCACAAAAGGAUCCACCGCUUUUGCCCCCUUCAUGUGAGGUCCAUUUUGUUGGGCACACGCUUGUUGCACUUAAGCCUGUGCCUUGUUUGAAGUGAGAGUUUAGAAUAGUGGUUGCUUUGUUGCAAUUGGUUUCAUCCAUAAGGAUAUUGCAGUCUUCUUGUUUUUCAUUUAGACUUCUACAGAUUCCCAGUUGUUGUCUUUUGCUUUGGGACUCUGAUAUUUCGGAUUUUCCACUUUCGCCUAAUGAGAUAUGUAAUCCUAAUUCUGCAAUAGUGAUCCUCACAGACAGGAUCUUUACACUAUUUUAUCAUAGUCUUCAACAGAUGAGCUUUUGGACUAUCCUGUUUCUACUUGCCUGCUGUAUCUUUUUUGUCUUAUUAUACAUUAAUUCUUUCUUUACAGAACUCAAAUUCAUUCCUGCAUCAUAUACUUCUCAAAAUGACUACAAUUUUUCUUCUUUUUUUUUCAAUUUUUUCCAAUAUUCUAUUAUCAUUUUUUUUAUUAUUCUUUUCUGCCUUCGAAUUUGAUUACGGGUUUUCCUCCCAUCUUUAUAUAUGUUUACUAUUUUAUCUAUUGUCUUUCUUUACCUAAAUUUAAUUACUCAUUAUUUAUCAUUUAUUAAUAUUUUUUUUGAAAUAUCAUUUAUUAAUAUUAGUUGUAGUAAUUUUCUGUAAUAUUUUAAUGAAUUAAUUUUAAAAUUUUGUGUCUUGCUUCAAUCAAGUGAGCUUCUUUUUGGGUGCUCUGCACUUCAAGCGAUAAGAAUACACAUUGCCUUAAGUUUGCUUUUCACUUUUGACUGCCUUGGAAAUGCAAAGAUGCUAGGUGAAGAUUUCCUUGGGGUAAGAGAUGAUGAAAAUUCAACAAUGUUUGUCUAAGGCAUCCCCAUUGUUGUAUUUUCACCCUUGUGUAAAUGAAGCUUUGUUCUUGAAGAGACUACGAGGAUAGAAUUUGAACAUGCGAACCUUGUUUAGUUAGCCUCAAAUCCUGUGGUAUGCAUUGUAGUCCAGACAUGAUAUUCCUUCAAAUCCUGUGGGAAUAAAUUGAUAGUUGUAUUUCAAAUUGAAGCCCAAGGAUACCAUAGAAGUCAUGCGAAAUAAAUUAAUGAUGAUCUUGAGUGUCCUGGAAAGUUUUCUUAAUUGCUAGUUCUUCUGUGCAUAAUUCAGUUAACAGGAACCUCGUUGGGGUGGGUUUUAUGUCGACUGAACAGAAGAAGAAGCUGCUUUGGGGGAACAAAAAGAGCACAGCUUCAGAAGAGUCUGGACACCGGUGGGACACUGCACUGUUUGGUGAUCGUGAAAGACAAGAAAAGUUCAACAAACUCAUGGUAAAUCUUGUUUCCUUCGCCUCAGUUCUUUCUGCUUUAUCAGUAGUUCUGCUGUCGAAUUACGUGAGAAUGAAAAAUCAAAGAGAAGCCAUUAUUGCAUGAUUAUGCAUGAACUGUUCUCUCAGUUAGUUCGCAUACUAACACAGUUUUAGAGUCUGAGGUUGCCUUGGUACCUAUGGCCAAUUGUAGGGUGUAAAGGGCGAUGUGAAGGUAGAGCAAACCGACAACGAAGAUGGCAAUGGUCGUCUCCAGGCAGAGAAGCAGAAGGAAGUCCAGAUGGAUUUAGAGAAGCAGUACACUGCUGGUCUUCGACGAAGAGAUGGCCGCACUGUUGGAUUGGGUCUUUGAGUGUCUCUGUAAGAUCAUUUUGCACUCUCACAACAAUACUUUCUGACAUUUUGUUGUUCUCUUUUGCGAGAAUCAUGACUCUCAUGGCUUUGUGCUCUUGUAAUGUUGGAGAGAACAUGCAAUUUAUUUCUGGACGUAUCAUAGUUCUGCAAAAUGGUUUGUUUGUGGUCUCUGAAGUGGUUCAAUGAGCAUGUAAAAUACUUCCAAUGAGUGAUGCUGAUUCUUGCCUUGACCAUGAGUAGACCUGGCAAUGUCAAAUGGGUUUGGGUUUUUGGGUCAUAAAUGAGACACGAUUAAUAUAAGGAUUUAAUUGGAUAAGAGUCGCUUAAUUUGAUAAGUUAUGUUCAUUUUUUUAAUCUGGUUAACAGGUU
rnacentral:misc_RNA from 1 species